rnacentral:rRNA from 1 species
GACGAACGCUGGCGGCGUGCUUAACACAUGCAAGUCGAGCGGUAAGGCCCUUUCGGGGGUACACGAGCGGCGAACGGGUGAGUAACACGUGGGUGACCUGCCCUCAGCUCUGGGAUAAGCCGUGGGAAACCGGGUCUAAUACCGGAUAUGACCUCAUGACGCAUGUUGUGGGGUGAAAGGCCCUUGUGGCGGCUGAGGAUGGGCCCGCGGCCUAUCAGC